UGCCCCCUGAUUUAAUUAUUAAAGGGCUGCAGUAAUUUGACUGUACAAAGGUAGCAUAAUCAUUAGUCAUUUAAUUGAUGACUUGUAUGAAAGAUUGGAUGAAAUAUAAACUGUCUCAAUAAUAAUUUAUAUAAAUUAAUUUUUUAAUUAAAAAGUUAAAAUGAUUUAAAAAGACGAGAAGACCCUAUAGAGUUUUAUUAUUAUUUAAUUUUAUUUUAUUUAUAAAUUUAAUUAAUUAUUAAAUUAAAUAAUAAUUUUGUUGGGGUGAUAAAAAAAUUAGAUAAACUUUUUUUAAAAAGUAGUCAUAUAUAAGUGAGUAGUUGAUCCAAUUAAUAUUGAUUAUAAGAAUAAAUUACCUUAGGGAUAACAGCGUAAUUUUUUUUUUUAGUUCAUAUAAAAAAAAGAGUUUGCGACCUCGAUGUUGGAUUAAGAUAAAAUUUAAAUGUAGAAGUUUAAAAUUUUGA
rnacentral:rRNA from 1 species